rnacentral:rRNA from 1 species
UACGUAGGGUGCAAGCGUUGUUCGGAAUCAUUGGGCGUAAAGCGCGUGUAGGCGGUUAAUUAAGUUGGAUGUGAAAUCCCUAGGCUCAACCAAGGAAGUGCAUUCAAAACUAAUUAGCUAGAAGAUGUUAGAGGAAGGUGGAAUUCCAAGUGUAGAGGUGAAAUUCGUAGAUAUUUGGAGGAAUACCGGUGGCGAAGGCGGCCUUCUGGGACAUUCUUGACGCUGAGACGCGAAAGCGUGGGUAGCAAACAGG